AGAGUUUGAUCAUGGCUCAGGAUGAACGCUGGCGGCGUGCCUAAUACAUGCAAGUCGAACGCGCAGCGAGAGGUGCUUGCACCUUUCAAGCGAGUGGCGAACGGGUGAGUAACACGUGGAUAACCUGCCUCAAGGCUGGGGAUAACAUUUGGAAACAGAUGCUAAUACCGAAUAAAACUUAGUAUCGCAUGAUAUAAAGUUAAAAGGCGCUACGGCGUCACCUAGAGAUGGAUCCGCGGUGCAUUAGUUAGUUGGUGGGGUAAAGGCUUACCAAGACAAUGAUGCAUAGCCGAGUUGAGAGACUGAUCGGCCACAUUGGGACUGAGACACGGCCCAAACUCCUACGGGAGGCUGCAGUAGGGAAUCUUCCACAAUGGGCGCAAGCCUGAUGGAGCAACGCCGCGUGUGUGAUGAAGGCUUUCGGGUCGUAAAGCACUGUUGUAUGGGAAGAAAUGCUAAAAUAGGGAAUGAUUUUAGUUUGACGGUACCAUACCAGACAGGGACGGCUAAAUACGUGCCAGCAGCCGCGGUAAUACGUAUGUCCCGAGCGUUAUCCGGAUUUAUUGGGCGUAAAGCGAGCGCACACGGUUGAUUAAGUCUGAUGUGAAAGCGCGGAG
rnacentral:rRNA from 1 species